UGGGGAAUAUUGGACAAUGGGCGCAAGCCUGAUCCAGCCAUGCCGCGUGGGUGAAGAAGGCCUUAGGGUUGUAAACCCCUUUCACCGGUGACGAUGAUGACGGUAGCCGGAGAAGAAGCCCCGGCUAACUCCGUGCCAGCAGCCGCGGUAAUACGGAGGGGGCAAGCGUUAUCCGGAUUUACUGGGUUUAAAGGGUGCGUAGGCGGCUUUUUAAGUCAGUGGUGAAAGCCUAGACACUUAAUGUCAGAAGUGCCAUUGAUACUGAAGAGCUUGAGUCAAGGAGAGGUAAGCAGAAUUUGUGGUGUAGCAGUGAAAUGCUUAGAUACCAUGAGGAAUACCAACAGCGAAAGCAGCUUACUGGCCUUGUACUGACGCUGAGGCACGAAAGCGUGGGGAGCAAACAGGAUUAGAUACCCCCGUAGUCC
rnacentral:rRNA from 1 species